GAAAAAAUAAUAAGAAAGAUUUGCCAAGGAUGUUUUCAUUUAGGGAGAACGAAAGUAGGGGGAUCGAAGACGAUCAGAUACCGUCGUAGUCUCUACCGUAAACUAUGCCGACCAGGGAUCCAGAGAGUUUGCAUGGAUGACUCCCCGGGCACCUUKUKAGUUUUCAUAAGUGUUUGGGUUUUGGGGGGAGUAUGGUCGCAAGGCUGAAACUAAAGAAUGACGGAAGCCACAACAAAAUGUC
rnacentral:rRNA from 1 species